CUCCUGCAAGUGUUAAGUGUGAUUGAACAACAGCAUAACACUUUCCUAACCGAUUCCCACAGGUGCAUGCAUUGAGCUGAGGGCUGGGAGAGCACUUUGUUGGGAGCCCCAGUUAAGGGAUUCGUGGUACUCAUGAGGAGCAGAGAUGCAUGAGUCUCCUCGCUGACUUUUCAGGUCCUCUCGCCGUUGUCUGACUCCAUCCUGGCUGAGAAGACGGUGAUUGUCCUGGAUGACCGAGUCGCCAUCGUGGAGCUGGGAGUGCAGCUCGUAGCUGGCAUGUCUCUCUCCCUGCAGCCACACCGAGCAGACAAAAGGGCCAUCGUCUCCACAGCCGCUGCCCUGGAUGUUCUUCUGUCCCCACAGCAGAGUUUCCUGGAAGUGCCCUGCACAUCCCUAAGGCAUACUUGCUCCAUCUAUCCUGUCCCAGUCGUCAAUACACAAUGAUGAGUAGAGUCACUUGCAACCUGCUCACACAGCAGCUUUUAUCAGCUGAAGCCAUUUUUCCCAGUCUUGUCUGGCAAUGCUGGACAUUAGGGAUCAUCUACUUGGGUCCAAAUGGUUAUCAAGGGCUACCUGGAGAAACACAUCCUAGAAAAGCUUCCCUAACCCCAGAGGACUGGCCGACCUAUGAAUAGCAGCUCUAACAGACGCCAGACGGAUGCAAACUGCCUGGAGACUCACCUUUAGCCGCUCUGAAAUGACACCGACCUUCAAAGGUUGAAAUCGGGCACUUUCCAUACAAAGGGCAGAGAUCGCCGACAGUUUUGCUUUCUUAUUAUCUGCUUAAUUUAUACUUUUAUUGAUUCUUGCCCUCAGACAAACAAGAAGGUUUAAACAUGCAUGAUUGGAAAACUCAAAGAAUGCUAGUUUUGUUUGUUUGCCUUUUAGCCAUACAAAAGAAAAAAAAAAAUCAUGGGCUGAGAACAUGGAAAUCUAAGUUAAAAUCCCAGAUUUGGGACAUAUUUUACCCAUAUGAUCUUUGUCAAUAAUAAUAACAGUUGUGAUAACAAUAAUAAUUUAUCUAAGGUCUACCAUGUAGCAGACAACAUGCGAAGACAUUUACGAUCAUUAUCCCAUUCAACAAUUGCAACAACCUUAUGAGGAAUACUCUAUUUUUUUUUUCCAAGAUGGAGUCUUGCUCUGUCACCCAGGCUGGAGUGUAAUGGUGCCAUCUUGGCUCACUGCAACCUCCGCCUCCCGGGUUCAAGCGAUUCUCCUGCCUCAACCUCCCGAGUAGCUGGGAUUAUAGACGCCCGCCAUCACUCCUGGAUAAUUUUUGUAUUUUUAGUAGAGACAGGGUUUUACCAUGUUGGUCAGGCUGGUCUUGAACCCCAGACCUCGUGAUCUGCCUGCCUCGACCUCCCAAAGUGCUGCAAUUAGAGGUGUGAGCCACCCUGCCUGGCCGGAAUACUCUGCUUUUAUCUCCAUUUACAAAUGAGGAGACUGACACUCUGAGAAGGGAAACAGUGGGUCCAUUUCCAUGCAUUGAGAAAGAGAUGGAGCACUGCUUUUUAAUUCACCUGUGUUCUCCAUUUCUCACCACCAGGCCAUAUUCUGACUGGCCUGUGCCCGUCUUGUAAGCAUCUCCUGUACCAACUUCUAAUUAAACCCAUUAAAACUAUUACAUUUGCCACAUUUCCCUAAGGGUCCAAUAAAAUCUCUUAUUAAUUCUUAUUUAACAUCGUGCAGCAUUUAGCUCAAUUCUAGCUCUAUAUUCCAAUUCUUUCAACCUCAGAGAAAUGACUGCAAAACUCAAAUACUUCCCUGUCUGUAUUAUCAUCUGGGAGUUUAGCCAAAUAAUGUCUUUGGAGCUGAGGGAGAUGUGAAUCCAAAAACGUCUAUUGCUUUGUUUAUUUCUACAGAAGACUGAGGAGACUGUUUAAGGAAUGUG
rnacentral:lncRNA from 1 species